rnacentral:lncRNA from 1 species
AAAAUAGUAAGUCUCCUCAUUUCACGCAGGCUUUAAAAUUACAUUUCCAAGAAUAAUCUUGGAACGAGGCAAGUUUUUGUUCAAUUAAUUGUGGCUGGAAACUUUUUAAUGGAAACAUAGCACACACUUAUUCAUUUCAGGUUACUAGAUUGUGUGAAGCAUUCAAGUUAGUUGCCCUGCUUUGCUGUAGCUCAUUUGUUCUUUUUGAUCUGAAGAAAUAUUAGAAGGAUAAAGCUUAUCACAUAGGGGGAUUAAUCACGUUACCAAAAUUAGAAAGCAUGUAGUUGUGAAAAACUGAGUUGCAGAACUGUAUGCUCACAGCACUUGGGCUAUUGGGAAUCCAGGAUGUCCCUGCCACAUCUAAGAUGGCAGCUCGUGUCUGUGGAAACCCCUGGCGCUCGGAAGCUGGCUAAGGCUAGGGUUCUCUUACAUUGGUUAAGGGUGCCACUUUCAGAUAAAAACAUAGACCUGAAUGGCAUCAUCCUGUCUCCAAGGAAACUGUAAUAGGUCAGAAGGAAGAGUGUGAAAUGCUACUAGACACAGGAACAGUGGUAGAAAAGUCGGCACUGAGAAUGUGGAACUGAAAGAGAAAGCGGUCCACUGGAAGGGUCAACAGAACACGAAUCAUACAAUGGCGGAUAUUGACAAUGGUGACACAAGACAGAAAAUGUAAAAGUUUCUUCUAAAACCUGUCUUAAUGUAGGUAAGGGCAAUUAUAAAGCAUGAGAAAAUAUUUAAUAAAGAUGAUUAAAAUCAAAACACUUCAUGAGUUUACGGAACUAAUAUGUCUUGAGAAAAUGAAUGUCUAGGACAUACCCAUUAGUGAGGUGGCAGAACUGAAGGUCAUCUUUAUCUGUUCCUUUAAAAGGUGACUUUCUUCUUUCCUCUUAUGGCCUUCCUAGACUUUAUUCUCAGAGAUUUUGAUAUAAAUCAAAAACCUUCUUUGGUAGAUGGUAAUAUAUUAAAACACUCAUCAAAAG